rnacentral:lncRNA from 1 species
AAAGCUGAUAUUCUUCAGGCUUUGGACUCAAUAUAGGCUGUCUCUCCUGCAACGCAGUUCCCUUUUCUUUUGCUUUCUUUCUACUCCUCUAGCUUUUAUUCUUUGAACUUCUGUGUCAUCUCCUAUUGUUGAGUUAUUUGGACAAUCCUGAAAGUGUAAUGAAAGGAUCAUCAAACAGGUAGGUGAUCAAUCAAUUUGAUGUGUUUUAUUGUUUUUUAAUUAGCGUCAUUUGGUUUGUUGAUUCUCCAGAGUUUGCUGUAAUACUAGGUAGGAGGAAAACCAUCAUACUUGCCAACCAUCGAUGAACUGAUCGGAUUAACCAAUUAAAGUUGGCUUCAGUCAUUAUGAAAGCACAUGUUUAGGUACUUGUCUUAGCAACACGAGAAAACCAUUAAACUGAUUUUUGGAAUUAAUUUCUCAAAUAAAUAUAUAAGGAAAGGUCCCUAUACAGCCAAGCAUUGAAAAGUUAAGACCACACCAGCUUGCCGCUUGGAUGUUGGAAGUUUGAAGCUUGCCAAAAUUCCAAGAAGUGUUUGAUGCUAGGUGGUUUAAACAAGACAUUAUGAAAGAAGAUGCCAGGCGCUAAGUGUUCCCUUUGCACAUUUUAAUCUGCUGUAAGUUAAUGAAGCCAGAUCUAUGGGCCAGGAAUCCGAAAGAUCUAUGGGCCAGGAAUCUAAACAAGCUCAAGAAAGUUAGAUAAAAGAAAGAUAAUUAACAUAUGUGGUUGCCCACAAUUCGAACCUCCCCAGGUAAAGCCGGCCUCAAAUUAAAGUAAACCAGCAAAGCUUAACGAGUUCGUUGACCCAAAUUCAUUCAAGGACUAAAGUAGCGUAGGCAUUUCAAAACUCAUUUAAGGAUUGUGUCAGCUUGAAUUAAAACUACUACUCCAAAUUAAACCACUGUAAGCAAAUUUAAAUAUUAAAAUAAAAUUUGAAAAGGCAAAUAUAUAUAUAGUCCAUAUCAGAGUCUUAAGGUUUCUGUUCAAUUAUGGAGCUACACAAUAGUGUACUUACAUAAGUUAGGAAAGACAAGAAAUGGAAUUUUUUUUUGGCUGAAUACAUAUACAGCCCUUCAACUUGGCACCAUUUUUCAUUUUGGCACUCUAUCUCAACCUUGUUCCAUUUUGGCCCUCCAACCCUAUUUCUUAUAUUUUACUUUAACACAAAAGCUGACCAGUCACAUAGCGUGAGUUGCCUCAUAUGGUAGGCGCGUGAGGCAGAUUUUUUUUUGGGGGCAAAAUUCCUUCUAAUUACUAUUGGCCCCAUAUUUAAUUCCCCAACUUCCUUCCCCAUUAUUUCAUCUUUAUUAUUUCCUUUCCCAUUUAUUGUUAUCCCAUUGUCAUUCUCAAAGUUCCAAAUCUUUCAUCUGCCGAUUUCAUACCUGGCCAUCCAUAAAGCUUCAAACUUUUGCAAUUUUGUUGUUCGUUUAUUUAAUCUGAUUAAUUUUUUUGUGAGUUUAUUUCAUAGGACCGCUACGUAGUAAAUUGUAGAAGAAUGAACUUUUUAAGCUUCUGAUUGACAUGCCUUAAACAAUAACAAACACAAAAAGUUUCAGAUUGUUAAAAAGGUCUCAAACACCAGAUGCCAAAGUUCCAUUCUUUACACAAAACCAAUUCUUGCAAGAACUAAAUAAAGUUCAAAUAAAGCACAAAUCAGCUACCAAACAGCAUAAUACUUCAGCUGCCAGGGGCCGAAGUUUCAUUCUUUACACAAAACUAACUCUUUUAAAAUACACAACUUAAGUUUGCAACUUUCAGAAGUAACAAAGCUGCCAAAAGCCAACAACAAUUAAAACUGCUCUUCAAAUCAAUCUCGAAUGUUGAUGAAUAUGAAGAAAUAGUUGAUGAAAUGUGAUUCUCGUCUUCAAAUGAUGAAGAAAUCACCGAUAAUCGAUGGGUUUAUCAUGUGCGAUUAUGAAUUUGGGAAGGAGCUUAGGGUACUAUUAGUCAAGUAGGGAUUUGUGACAGAGAGAAAAUAAGAAGCGGCUUUAAUUUUACCCAAAUUCGGUCGGAUUCGGGUCUUUUAGCAUUGACCCGUUCGACAUGGAUGAAAACAAAAUAGGUGGCAACAUUUAAUUGGAUAUUUAUUACAUCUCAGAUUUGUAUAUACACACGCGUUAUAUUGUUUGCACUGGUUUCAACUUUUGUGUUAAAACGAAACAUAAGAAAUACGGUUGAAAGAUCAAAAUGGAACAAAGUUGAAAUAGAGUGAUAAAAUGAAAAAUGUUGUUUAUGUAUUUGGCAUCCUUUUUUUUUUUUUGGAAGUUUGGUGAGUUAGAUUAUGACUCACUACUCAAACCAUUUUGAUUGAACAAACUUUGUACUACUAACUAGAUUAUGACCUAUACAUUAUUUUCGUUUUACUUAUAGAAAUAAUUUUAACUCCAGCAAUUUUUUUGACACUCCUGAAUUGGUGUGACAUGACAAAUGUGAUAAAUGAUGUAGCGAAAAUAGAAACGUGGGUCGCCCCGUUUGAGAGGACAAAAACACAGCUAAACUGCCAGGACAGUUCUUGAAUUGAAUCUCCAUUUGAAUACAAUGAAUAUUCUUUCAUGCACAUAAAAAGACAGUACGAAUUUCCCAAGUUGACUUUCCAAUACACGAAGCAUCUGCCAUUCUGCCUUUUGGUUUCCUUUUGAAUACUCAGAUGCUUCUUUUUUACUUAAAAAAAAAAAAACAAAUUUCCGAACACUAAUUUGAGUUUGCUAAAAAAAAGAUUCCCAACUCCAUUGCAAGCCUGCAACUUGCCCAAGGAAUAAACAAUUUUUUUACUAUUUUUCGCAUCUGGGUAUCAUUCAUAGUUAUCUUUAUUGGAUUAUAUUCUUAAAAUCCAAAAAGCAAAUCAAAAAAAGCCAAAAAAUAUAAUCACUGCGUUUACCACUACUACUCUCCCCUUUGUAUCUUUCAAUAAAAUAUUCGUAACGUCUUUUGUUCUUUCAUCACAUGAUCACAUCAGAUUAUUCCCAAUAAAAGCAUUCGAUCAGUUGUUUAAUUCCAACUAAGUGAAAUUGAUUGUUUUGUGUUUGAGAAAAAAAAACUGAGUGAUCAAUCUUGUUAUGAAAUUCGGGAAAGAAUUUACAACGCAUUUAGAAGAAACCCUACCCGAAUGGAGGGACAAGUAUUUGUGCUACAAGCCCUUGAAGAAGCUUCUCAAGCACCACCUCCGUUCUAGCCCUGCUACCGGCGAUAAUCUUCC